UUUUAGUCAUCUUCAGUUGUCCUUCCUAAAUCAUCCUUUUCUUCUGUACUUUGCCCAAAGCCAAACUAUUUUUCUGUUUCCCAAGGAAGCCGCUCUCUUUAAGGGCGAUGUGCUUUCCCUUAAAAAAAAAAAAAUCCUUUAGGGAGCUCAAUUGAAACCAGACUGAGACCUCAGGAGGUCACGUGACCCUGACUCUGAUUCAGGAAGGUCGCUGUGGCUCGGGCCUCCUACUCGACCUAAGAAAAUCCCAGUGAGGAAAGUUAGCCUCACUGCCAGGCCUACUCUCAUUCUGCAGUUGACAGUGGAGACACAUAAGAAGAUUGAUUUGUCACUUAGGAAUUCAUCUCAAAGAGCCAAUGAGGUGGUCGUGAUGGAAUCGAGGCCAAAGGAACGCAAGCUGGCCAGAAUGCGGCGGCUUCCCUCACGGACACAGAAACGGUCCCUCGCCAGCUGCGGGCUCAUUGCUCCUUUCCAUGGACCGCGAGUGUAUGACAAUGGCUUGGCCUCCAGUUAUCGCGGCACCUUCUGCUUCAGAGAGGGGACACCUGGGAAGGGGGCGUUCUCCUCCUAAAAUGGCAACUGUUGAGAUUUUAGCUCUUCCUCAGCAUUCCUUGGAAUUUAAGGCAGAAUGUUAAGCAGCUCCCAGGAACUCUAAAGAAUCCGUCUCACUUCUCUCCCUGGCUUUGUCCCGGCUGGUCUAAGGGGAUGUGUCCAUCCAGGCCCGCCUCUCCCAAAUUAAAUGUGAUGGAGUGGCUGGGUGGAUGGCUGUGAUUUUCAUCUUUCUUGAGCAGUGACAGAUGAUGCCGCAACCUCGGAGCAAAUAAAGUCAUCAAGUCCCAAGCACCACUGACAUAAUCAAAAAAUCAGAGGCUGGAGAGCCACAGGCCUUCCAUUUAUUAUGGGAAAUAAUGGGAGAAGAGCGAGCAAUUAGGAUCGACUUUGGGAUGCGCUGCUGGGAGGGAGUGAAGAUUUGUAAUUCCUGCCCUCGGGCCAUAUCAAGAUUUGGAACCAGAGCCCAAUUUGAAAUAACACAAACUAAAAAAACUUUAUUAGACGAGGUGUCAUUUGGAGUCCAGUUCUUUGAACUAGCCCUAAAUUCCUGCGGGUUAUAAUCUAAUGCGCAAUCGCGGCACCCGGUUCCAGGAGGGGCCGGGUAUGGUAGGAGCAGGAUGUGUGACGGGUCCUUGAAGCCUUGCCUGGACCUCCAAAGACCUUUUAUUCUCUUGUCCUUUUAACCCUCCUGCCUCACGCGAACCACAGUGCUGAGUGCAGGGCCAAGCAGUUCAGUAAUUGAGGCUGAUUAUAACCAGAGGUGUCCACUGAACGACCCUAAAGGCAUGUCAAGUUGGGGGAUGGCGAGACGCGGAGGUGAAGGCUAAGGGUCUCAUAGCCCAGGGGAAUCCCACGUCGCCUGUCCCCUAACUCUAGAAAGUUGGGUCAGGGCCAGCUACAACUUGAAAUGUGGAGUCCAACUUAAUGGGGGAGGGGGAUGCCAAAAUAGCUAGUUAGAGUUCAGUCUCCGAGUAGUCCACUUAGGGGGCGGGGAGACGCGGAAUGUGACGUCAUAGUAGAAGGGACUGAGGGAUGGAGGGGAAAUGAUUUCGCCAACAUCCGGGAGCCAUUAAGCAGCUCGGACUGCAGCCUGCCACCAAUGAGAACGCAGCUCCCCUGUUUCUUUCAUUAGGGUCCGGCGCAUCCUAGAAAUGGAAUUUCCCCUGAUUGGUCCAGGAAGUGAGGAGAAACUGCAGAAUGGCAAGGAGUCAAAACAGAAAAUCAACACUUCAGGUGCUACUGAAUGUGCCAAUCUACCAGCACUGAGUGAGGCCAAUGUUGACUCUGUUGCUAAGCUGUGACAUGUAAACAAAGCACAGUUCAACUCUAUACACUGCAUAGCAAACUCUUGAGUCUCCUGCUGUCAACCCCAAAGUGCAAUUGCUGGCAGUGAUGCAAAGUUGUGAGGAGUUGGGAAACAAAGCCUGGCUAGACUGAUUAGAGUGACUUGGGGACACCUUCGCUCUUGUUUUUGACAGUUUUCCUUUAAGGCUACGGACACCUCUUCUAUUAAGCCUUCCUUGACAGCUCUGCCCCACCUAAGAUAGGAGAGUUAAGAGAGCAUCUGACCGCAGAACUCCUUGCUCCUUGUAAAGAUAAAAUGCUCCACGAAGGGUAAAGCAUGUCGGCUUUCCGUGGUCUGAGUCUUUUAUACCCCAAACGGCAAGGAAGCCCAAGCCCUCGUUCAAACCCAAGUCUUCUUGCCAAAUGAAAUGCCCCAUUCCUUUCAAGGGAGACCAGUCCAGCUGACAAAGAAUAAGAGUUUUUCCUACAAUUUGUUGUCUAGUCAUCUUCAGUUGUGUCUGACUCUUCUUUUGCGGUUUUCUUGGCAAAGAUACUGGUGCAGUUUGCAUUUUCCUAUAAUACUUCCCUCCCUAACAAAGAUUUUUAGGGCUUCUACUACAAGUUAAGGGGAUCUUAAAAUUCCAACCUUGGAAGGAUCCCUAGCCUUAGUGGAACCGAAAGAGCUAAAUACAAAGAAUGAAAAGAUGAAAACCUAAUAAUCCAAAGACAUCUAAAAAAGUACAGUUUCACAGUAGGUACAACUCCCGAGGGUUUUUUAUUAAGAGCUCUUAGUUUUUAUUAACCCCUAAAUAAACUCCCUUCAUCUUUUGAACCUUGUAAAUCUGAGUAGGGGAAGGAAUCAGAUGCUAAAGUCCCCAGAUGUAUAAGGAGGGCAACACAUUCCUUUGUUCCCCAAAGUUUACCUGGAAGGAGCUCCUAUGCAAAGGUUAUACUUUCUUCCAGCCUAAAUCUGCCUCUUGGUAAAUCCCAUUCCUUCUGGGAGGACUAGUAGGACUAGUCUAAUCUUUUCAUAUGACAAUACUUAUACUACCCGAAGUUAACUAUCAUAGUAAGCCCCUUGCCCACUCCAUCAUAAGGGCAGGGAGGUGGUUCAGUGGAUAGAGCACCAGGCCUAGGGAUGGGAGGUCCUGGGUUCAAAUGUGACCUCAGACAUCCUAGUUUUGUGACUCGGCAAAGCACUUAACCCCAAUUGCCUAACCUUAUGGAUCUUCUGCCUCGGAACCAAUACUUAGUAUUGAUUCUAGGACAGAAAGCAAGAAUUAAAAAAAACAAAACUCCAUAGUCGUUUCAACUAAGCCUUUCAGCAUCCUGAUUAACUUUCCUCUGAAUGGCAACCAUUUACACAUGGCUCUCUCCAUGUAAAGGUGAUCUGAAGUCUCUUUAGGCUAUAUAUAUGAAUAGUUCAGGAACCUGGCCAGGUGGAUGUGAGACAUGAUAAUCUUACUCCUGAAUUUAGCUUUCUGUGUCUUCCUUUGCUUAUCCACAUGAGAGAAUGGAAGGAGUUUGAUAUUAACCCCGGAAUCCCAGAACCCUGAUACUCUUAGCAAUUUUAUUGGGUAACGCCUGAUGAUUGAGGAUGGCCUAUCCUUACAUCAAAAUUAGGAAGCCCAGAAUGCUUACUUUAAAAAGUCUAUACCAGAGGUCCUGUCUCCUGGAAGAGGAAAUUUUAAUUAAAAAAUAUUUGUACCUGAAAGUAUUGAGAGCUCCUGCCUUAUGGGUUUUAAGCUAAUAGGAUUUAAACGUUAUUAAGAAAUCUGUUCUACCCUCAUUUUAGAGAGGAGGAAACUAAAGAGCAAAAGAGAUUGGCCUAAAGGUAUAUAGGUAAUAAGUUUUCAGAACUGAGUUCCACAGCCUGGUUUGUUGGGGUCUAAAUCUAGGGUGCUUUUUCUAUUCCCCCCACAAAAUUCCUUUCAUGUUGUUGCAUUAUAACAUCUGGGUUUUCUAUAAUUCUGUAGUGCAUCAAAUUCACUGUCAGAUGUCUUGUUUCCCAAAACAAGACUAUAAAAACAAGACUACAAUUGCCCCAGGGCACAUUGUACCCAACAUUUAAAAGCAACAAGCAUGUACUGAGCACCUACUGUGUAUCAGAUGGGGAUUCAGAGAAAAGCAUGAUACAAUCUCUGCCCAGGAGAAGUUCAUACUUUAAUAGGGGUGACAGCAAAUACUGUGUAUGAACUGAUGUGUAAGAAGAUUAAAAAGACAGGAAGCUGCAAGGUUAUGAAGAGCUUUCAAAGUAUAAAAAAGGAUUUUAUAUUUUUUUCUCUAAGCAUUGGGGAGGGACUGGCUCUCUUUAUAAAAAUCGGUUUUAUAGCUGAGUGGAGAAUGAAUUGGAAUGGGAAAGACUUGAGACAGAGAGACCAAACAGAAGGUUACUGCAACAAUCUAGGUACAAGGUAAAGACAUGUGCUAGGAUGGUGGCAGUAUCAAAACAGAGAAGAGGGCAUAUCUAAAAGGUGUUGCUAAUUUAUGGUGGCAAAAAAAAGUUGGAAAAUGAGGGGAUGCCCUUCAAUUGGGGAAUGGCUGAACAAAUUGUGGUAUAUGUUGGUGAUGGAAUACUAUUGUGCUCAAAGGAAUAAUAAAGUGGAGGAAUUCCAUGGAGACUGGAACAACCUCCAGGAAGUGAUGCAGAGCAAGAGGAGCAGAACCAGGAGAACACUGUACACAUCAAAUGUAAUGGACUUCUCUAUUAGUGGCAAUGCAGUGAUCCUGAACAACUUGGAGGGAUCUAUGCUACGAGAAAGAACACUAUCCUCAUUCAGAGGGAAAACUGUGGGAGUAGAAACUUACAUGGGUCCAGGGGAUAUGGCUGGGCAGAUAGACUCUAAAUGAACAUCCUAAUGCAAACACCAACAACAUGAAAAUAGAUUCUGAUCAAAGACACAAGUAAUAUCCAAUGAAAUUGCACAUUGGCUGUGGGAAGCAUGGGUGGAGGGGAGGGAGGGAAAUAAUGUGAUUAUUGUAACCAAGGAAUAAUGUUCUAAAUUGACUAAAUAAAUUCAAAUUUUUUUAAAAGUCAUGAAGGGAAUGGCUUUUAGAAUCAAUAAAUCAUUUUUGUCACAUUAAAAAAAAUAAAAGGUGUUACUGAGGUGAAAUUGAGAGGAUUUGAAAACAGCUUGGAUCUGAUAGUAUGAGGGAGUGAGGAGUCAAGGAGAAUAUCUAGGUUGGAAGCAUCAGUGCCUGGGAGGGAGGUGGUACCUUGACAGUAACAGGGGAAUUCAGAAGAGAGGAGGGCUUUUGGGGAGGAUAGUUAAUGAGUUCAGUUUGGGAUAUGUUGAGUUUAAGUUAUCUAUGGGACAUCCAUUUUGAGAUAGUCAAAGGACAGUUGAAGAGUUGAGACUGGAGUUAAGGAGAGGGUUAAGACUAGAUAAAUAGAUCCAUUAGCAUAGAAAUGAAGACUGAAUCCUUGGGAAUGUUGAUACAAUCAAGCAAAACUGUAUGGAGGGAAAAGAAAAGAGAGCCUAGGAAGAACACAUAGUUAAUGGGCAUGACCUGAAUUAAGAUCCAGCCAAAAAGAGAAGAAAUAGAAGAAACAGCACCAAUGGGAAUCUAGAAAGAAGAGACCAUCAGGGAGAAAAAAGUGAUGAGCAGUGUCAAAGGCUGUAGAGAAGUCAAAAAAGUUGAGAAUUGAGAAAAGACCAUUAGCCUUGGCAGUUAAGAGAUCAUUUUACUUUGAGGAGAACAGUUUCAGUUGAAAAGGUUGGAAACCAGACUACAGAGUAUACAGAGUUAAGAAAGAAGAAAAACAGCAGAAGCAUUGGUUCUCAAGUUUAGCCAUGUGGCAGACCCUUUCACCCUGACAAGAACAAAGACUUAGCAUUCAUAUAGCCCACCAUAUUCAGCUUAAUCCAGACUGAACUUCAUAAUGAGUCUGUCCCAAGGCCAUUUUCAUGCCAGUCAUUCGGACAAUACUAUUCCUUUUUCUCUCUUCAUAUUUCCAUAUCCUGUUCUGGAAAGGGUAUAUAUUGUGUCAUUUUGUCAACUUUCCUCUGGUUCUGCUCACAAAAGUCUUUCUCCCUGGCCACUAUUUCCCUGUUGUCAGUCCUUAUUGGAACAUAAGCUUUUUGUCUUACUUUUUUGAGGGCCUAGCUUAGUGUUUGAUACCUACUAUGUAGUUAAUAAAUGCAACUGACAAAUUACUCCUUCUAAAUGCUAAAUAUUUAGUUAAAAAGGUUGUCCCUUUGUCAUGGGUCAGGGUGCAGAGCACAAUAUGUUGGCACAGUAGAAUUAAAAACUGAAACUUUUCCGACAAUCUUCCCAAACCAAUAUUUUAAAAGUGCCUCAAAAUGACAGAAGUCAAAAGCCAACAGCAAGACAAAGUGAGGGGGCUCUCUUGCUAAACACAACUUGAAAGACAGGCAGAGAGAAUUGAUUUUUCAUGGGAUAAAGGGGAACCAGAAAUAAACACCACACAGAGGAGUGCUGGCUGACUACCCCCACCCCACCUACUGCACCAGGUUUCAGGACUGGGCAUAGGCUAAUUUCAGGAUCCCAGGAUGCAGGAUACACCAACAAAAGAGCGCCUCAGAUGCACCCUUUGAAGUCUCAGGCCCUGGCACUAGCCUGCAGUGGGGCCUGGAAGUCCAUAGCACUGGGCCCUUUCAAGCCUGCAGUGGUGUGAUGAAGACCUAGCCCCAAGGCAAAAUAGCUCACAGUGCUGCAAGUCAGCAGCAGAGGAGGUAGAAUCAUCAGCUUUCAGAAUUCCAAGGCCACAGAGAAAAAAAAAAACCUGGGAAAAUGAGCAAACAGCAAAAGAAACACUUAACCAUUGAAAAUUUCUAUGGGACAAACACCAAAGUACAGAACCAGCAGAAGAUGGUGAGAUCCAAGCAAACACAUGCAAAACUUCAAAGAAUGACAGGAAUUGGUCUCAAGCUCUGGAAGAGCUCAAAAAGGAAUUUAAAAAAUCAAAUAAGACAGGUCAAAGAAAAAUGGGGGAAAUAAAUGAAAGUAAUGCAAAAAUAAAAGUUUAAAAAGUAAAAUUGGUCAACUGGAAAAGGGGGCACAAAAAUCCAAUGAAGAAAAGAGUGUUGUCAAAAGUAGAAUGGACCAAAUGGAAAGGAGGAUCAAAAGGUCAUGGAAGAAAUUCAGUCUUUAAAAAUUAGAAUUGGGCAAAUGGAAGUUAAUGACUUCACAAGGCAUUAAGAAAGAAAAUAAAAAGAAUGAAUAAAUAGAAGAAAAUAUGAAAUAUCCCAUUAAAAAUGACUUACCUGGAAAAUAGGUCCAGGAAUGAUGAGUUGAGAAUGAUUAGACAUAUUAGAAGGAAUUACCCCAAAAAACUGCCCUGAUAUUUUUGAACAAAGGGGUAAAAUAGAAAUUGAAAGAAUCUUCAGGUCACCUCCUGCAAUAAAUCCCCAAAUGUCAAUUCCCAGGAAUAUUAUAACCAAAUUCAAGAGCUCCUAGCCCAAUGAGAAAAUAUAGCAAACAACUAGAAAGAGAGAAUUCAAAUAUCAUGGAGCCCCAGACAGGAUUACACAGGAUCUAGCAGCUUCCAUAUUGAAGUAAUAUGAUAUUCUGGAAGGCAAAGGGAACUGGGUUUACAAUCAAAAAUCACCUACCCAUCAAAGCUGACUAUGCUUUUAGGGGAAAGUAUGGUCAUUUAAUAAAAUAGAAGAUUCCCAAGCAUUUCUGAAGACCAGACUUAAACAGAAAAUUUGUCCAAAUAUAAAAUUCAAGCGAAGCAUAAAAAGGUAAAUAAGAGAGAAAAUUUAAGGGUUUCAAUAAGGUCAAAUUGUUUAUAUUUUUAUGUGGAAGGAUGAUAGCUGUAGCUCUUAAAAAUUAUCAUCAGGCAGCUGGGUAGCUCAGUGGACUGAGAGCCAGUCCUAGAGACAGGAGGUCUGGCCUCAGACACUUCCUAGCUAUGUGACCCUGGUCAAGUCACUUGACCUCCAUUGCCUAGCCCUCACCACUCUUAUGCCUUGGAGCCAGUACACAGUAUUGACUCCAAGAUGGAAGGUGAGGGUUUAAAAAAAAUUAUCAUCAUAGUAGUUAGAAGAAGUAAUACAGAGAGUGUGGCAGUAAGCUAUUUAGCAUGAUUUGUUAAAAAACAAACUAGGAGUAUAAAAGAGGAUUGUACUAAAAAAAUGGGAAGAGGGAAGUAAAAUGGGGUAAAUUAUAUCACAU